rnacentral:rRNA from 1 species
AACGUAGGGGACAAGCGUUAUCCGGAUUUACUGGGCGUAAAGCGCCCGUAGGCGGCCUGACAAGUUGGACGUGAAAGCUCCUGGCUUAACUGGGAGAGGCCGUUCAAAGCUGUCAAGCUAGAGUCUGGAAGAGGAGAGCGGAAUUCCCGGUGUAGUGGUGGAAUGCGUAGAGAUCGGGAGGAACACCAGUGGCGAAAGCGGCUCUCUGGUCCAAAACUGACGCUGAGGGGCGAAAGCGUGGGGAGCGAACGGG